UGCUCGCAAAAUAAUCUCUCUAUUGAAAUGAACGAAAGUUGAAUACAAUGUAGAAUAAUGGAUCCUAUUUAUAGGAAACCCAUAAAAUCCUAUUCUAAAUGGAACUAAAGUCUAAAAUAUUGCUAAAGUUACAAAAAAGUAAAUUUUUAACAAAAAUAAAAGAUUUCAGAGAAAUUGGGGAAUCUUACGAUCGAAACUAACUAUGCGGUUGCAUAGUAGUAUUCACAUGCUUAUGUAAACUACAAGCCUUUUUCCGCUGCUCGAACCAAGAUGAACCAUCUUGUUUCCUCUUUUGAGCCCAACAUGAAACUUGUUUCUUUACUUGUCAAGAUCAAUGUUUUCAUCUAUUGUAGCUUGCACAAGUAAUCCCAUUGCUUCUUUAACUCUCUUUGCUCGCAACCUGGUCAUAUGGCAUUCGUCAACAAUUAAUUGAUCUUUGCCCGGACUUGCCUUCGUUGCACUCGUUCCAUGUAUCACAUCAUUCUGUUCCUCUUCGAAAGGAUUCGACCUCGAAUUUGUACCUACAGUAAAGAAAGAAAGAUGAGACAUAUUAAAAGUAGCAAAAACAUUAUACUCACAAUGAAGAUCUAAUUUGUAGGCAUUGUUAUUAAUCAUUUCAAGGACUUGAAAUGGACCAUUUCCACGUGGCUGCAACUUUAUUUUCUUUGUUCUGGAAAGCAUUCCUUUUUUAGUUUUACCCAAACCCAAUCACAUGAUUCAAAUGUAAUGCUCUUCCGGCCUUUUUUGGCUUGCAAAACGUAGUGCUUGUUUUUCUUUUCAAUUUGCAUUCUUAUCUUUUCAUGGAUGGCCUUCUUCUUUUGAUCUAAACUAUCUCGUUUAUUAACAGGUAAAGGAAUUAAAUUCAAAGGUGUUAGUGGACUAAAACCAUAUGUAAUUUCAAAAGGUGAACAUGAAGUAGUAGAAUACGUGGCCUUAUUAUAUGCAAAUUCAAUGAAUGGUAAGCACUCUUCCUAGCUUUUCAAAUCUUUAUUAACUAUAGUGAAGAACAAUUGUAUCAUGGUCUUAUUAACUACCUCAAUUUGCCUAUCAAUUUGUGGGUGACAAGUUGUAGAAAACAACAACUUUUUACCUAACUUAUUCUACAAAACCCUCUAAAAGUGACUAAGGAAUUUUAACACCCUUAUCUGACUCUUAGGAAUCCCAUAUAAAUUUGACGCUCGAGAGAGAGAAAUCUAGGCAUGAUCUAGAACAACAUAACCUAGAUUCGUAGGUUUUGAGAGGAAAUACGAGUCUUUGAGGAUAAAUUCAUUCAAGAACCAAGUGCAUUGAUAAUCUUUAUAUAUUUAAUUCAGAAUAGAUAUUGGGAUUAAACUGUAGAGAUAGGUUCUAUUAGCACUCAAGAGAGGGAAUAGGAUUAAAUUAGGGUUCUUGCCUAUAAAUUUGGGAAAUAGUUGAGGAAAAUAACUAUAGAGAUUGAAAAACGUGUUGAUAAUAUGGUGAUAUAAUUCCCUAGAUAUCCAUAUAUUGAUUCAAUCUUUAGAAAUUGCCUCAUUUUACUUACAUUCUCUAUUUCAUUUUUAUUUAAUUAGCGUAAGAAUAUCACUUCAAUUUGAUUAUCUAAAUAAAGUGAAAAUCGAAACAAUUUGAUUAUCUUAGUAGAAUUCGAAUAUCAAUUCCUGUGGGUUCGACACUUUUCAAUUCCUUACAAUACUACAAAACUUAACACUAUAUACUUGCAGUUAAAUCACGUGGCAAGUUUUUGGUGCCACUGUCGAGGAUUGAUUCAUUUAAAUUCAAUUGAUAUUAUUACCAAUUGUCGUUCAUUUUAAUUAGAUUUUUAUUUUUACUGUAGUUUCCUUUUUAUUUGUUUUGUGCCUAUCUCUCACAGCUCCCUUGUGUUUAUUUUCAGCUGUUUAUGCGAACGGCGAGAAAUUUAGACCUUCUACCUAUUGAUCCUGAACCCGAAUGCACAUUCCACAUUCUAAGAGGUAUACAAAGAAACGAAUAGAAAGCAGCGACAGAACAGAUUGCAAGAGCAACUAACAAAUAUAAUCAACAAUCAUGACCACAUAAAGCCUAUUGUCAAUGACAACUACUCCUGUAUCGCAUGCCUAGCUGUUGCUGCAAACAACUAUGAAUUGAAGCUAGGAUUGAUACAUAUGGUACAGCAGAAUCAAUUUGGGGGAGUUGCAAUAGAAGACCCAAAUGCUCAUCUGGCUUCUUUCUUGGAAAUUAGUGAUACAUUGAAGAUGAAUGAGGUUACUGAAGAUGUAAUUAAACUCUAGCUAUUCUCAUUCUCCUUGAGGGAUAAAGCAAAGGCUUAGUUCCAGUCACUACCAUAUAACUCAAUUACAACUUGGGAUGAUUUGGCUCAGAAAUUCCUCACCAAGUAUUUUCCACCUUCUAAAUUAGCUCAACUUCGAAAUGAGAUCAGCCAAUUCAAACAAUUUGAUUUUGAGCCUUUUUAUGAAGCCUGGAAGAGGUUUAAAGACCUGCUUAGGAAAUGCCCUCAACAUGAUUUUCAAAAAUGGGUGCAGAUGAGAUCUUCUCUAAUGGGUUAAAUGGGCAGACAAGAACUAUAGUAAAUGCAACUGUGGGAGGUAUUCUAAUGGCUAAAACAGCAGAGGCUACAUAUUCCCUGUUGGAUGACAUAGCCACAAAUAGUUACCAAUGGUCAAGUGAAAGAUCCAGUGUAAUGAAAGUAGUAGGACUUCAUGAACUGGAUCCCAUCACAACACUAGCAAUUCAGGUUACAUCACUCACAAAUCAGAUCGUCACGUUUACUACUCAAGAGAAUCAACAGAAGGCAGAUUCAGUCAUGAGUGCUUCUUCAUCACACCAGGAGAUAGAGGUUGCAAAGGAACAGGUUCGAUAUGUCAAUAGCAGCAACUACAAUCCGAGAAAAAAUUUCUCUGCUAAUCAUUAUCAUUUAGGGCUGAGAAAUCAUGAGAACUUAUCAUAUGGCAACAAUAGAAACAUGCUUCAACCUUCACCUAGAUUCAACACUCGAAAUUCUAAAGGGAAACCAUCCUUAGAGGAUAUCCUUGGGACAUUCAUUUCUGAAACAAGAUCGCGCUUCAAUAAAGACGAAUCACGUUUGGAUAAUAUUCAAACACAUGUAUCCAACAUGGGAUCCACAAUGAAAAAUCUUGAAGUUCAAAUUAGUAAGUUGGCCACCUCGAUGAAGUCUCAACAAUAAGUAAAAUUUCCAAGUGAUACAGAAGUCAACCUAAAGGAGUACUGUAAAGCUGUUGUAUUGAGGAGUGGCAAGCAAGUUGAAGAAGGUAAACUAACAGAAGAAAGCGUUCCCACAACUGACAAUGAGGAAGAAAAAAUAACAGCAGAGUAAGAAAAUCAGACUAAAGGAUCAAAGAAGGCUCACAAACCUUAUUCCAUAUCCUUUUCUGAUAACCCACCAAUUCUCAAACCAGCACUUCCAUUGCCAAAGCAUUUUCAAAAGAGAAAAAAUUGAUGAUCAAUUUGCUAAAUUUUUAGAAAUUUUCAAGAAAAUUCGCAUUAAUAUUCCUUUUGCAGAUGCUUUGGAACAAAUGCCAAAUUACGCAAAGUUUAUGAAGGAGGUAAUGUCAAAGAAGUGGAAGUUGAAAGAGUAUGAAAUAGUGAAAUUAACAUAAUAAUGCAGUGCUAUCCUUCAAAAGAAACUUUCUCAGAAGAAAAAAGAUCCAGGCAGUUUCACUAUUCCCUGCACCAUUGGGAGUUCUUCUUUUGACAAAGCCCUGUGUGAUCUUGGAGCAAGCAUCAACCUGAUGCCCUUAUCUGUGUUCAAGAAGUUAGGCCUUGGGAAGGUCAAGCUAACUAUAGUGACCCUACAACUAGCUAAUAGGUCCCUCACAUACCCACAAGGGAUUAUUGAAGACGUGAUAGUAAAGGUCAACAAAUUUAUUUUCCCUGCUAACUUUGUGGUAUUAGAUAUGGAAGAAGAUUAGGAAAUCCCAUUAAUGUUUGGCAGGCCAUUUUUAGCAACAAGAAGGGUACUAAUUGAAGUACAAAGAGGUCAUUUAACAUUGAGAGUGAAUCAAGAAGAGGUGAGGUUCAACAUUUACCAAGUAAUGAAGUACUCGGACGACAUUAACACUUACCAUAGGAUUGACUUCAUUGUGUCUGCUAUGAAAGAAGAGAAAUUAUGCAUUGAGGAUUCCUUAGAACAAUGUAUGAUGUUUAGUGCAACAAAGGAUGAUAUUACAAAUUCUGGAGAGUACAUAGGGAACAAGGACUUGGUUGACUGUAUAUUGGCUCUUGAGGCUACACCAGUUGAAGAUAAUCUGUCACCAUAUGAGGACAUUCAACAAUCAGAGGGAUCAGAUGACAAAGAAAGUAAUGAAAGCAGAAAAAUUGAACUGAAUCAAUUAUCGAAAUACCUUCGAUAUGCAUUUCUGGAAGACAAUUCUUUAUUUCCAAUGAUUGUUUCUUCAUCACUCACUCGGGGCGAAGAGGACAGAUUAUUGAAAGCACUGAGAAAUCACAAGGCUGCUUUGGGAUUAUCGAUAGCUGAUAUCAAGAGGAUAAGUCCUAUGAUUUGCAUGCAUAAAAUCAUCAUGGAAAAUUCAUACAAGCUAUCCAUUAAACAUCAGAGAAGAUUAUCUAGCCAUGAAAGAAGUGGUUCGAGUAGAGAUACUAAAGCUACUGAAGGCAGGAAUCAUAUUUUCCAUUUUAGACAAUGAAUAGGUCAGCCCAAUUUAGGUGGUGCCAAAGAAAGGAGGGAUGACAGUAGUUAAGAACGACAAUAAUGAGCUAAUUCUGACAAGAACAGUAACUGGCUAGAGGGUGUUCAUUGAUCACAUGAAGUUGAACAAAGCAACUUAAAAGGAUCAUUUCCCGUUCCCAUUCAUUAAUCGAAUGUUGGACAAAUUAGCAGGCUACUCUUACUAUUGCUUUCUGGACCGGUAUUUAGGUUACAAUCAGAUUGCUAUAGCACUAGAAGAUCAGGAAAAGACAACAUUUACCUGCCCUUAUGGUACUUUUGCCUACAAACGGAUGCCAUUCAGGUUAUGCAAUACACCGACCACUUUUCAGAGUUGCAUGAUGGCAAUUUUUGUAGACAUGGUUGAGGACAUCAUGGAGGUAUUUAUUGAUGACUUUUCUGUGUUUGGUACUUCUUUUAAUAACUACCUUCACAAUCUCUUGUUAGUGUUGCAACGCUGUGAGGAAAAUAACUUAGUUUUUAACUGGGAGAAAUGUCACUUCAUGGUACAAGAAGGAAUUGUGCUAGGCCACCAUGUUUUAGCGAGGGAACUUAAAGUUGACAAAGCAAAAAUUGAUACAAUAGCAAGGCUACCACCACCCACUAAUGUCAAAAGCAUUCGAAGUUUCUUGGGACAUGCUGGAUUUUAUAGGAGGUUUAUCAAAGACUCUUAGAGGUAGCUAAACCCUUAUGUAACCUGUUGGAGAAGGACAUAACAUUCGUGUUUGAUGAAGACUGCUUAAAAGCAUUGAGAUAAUAAAGGAAAAAUUAGUUACUGCUCCAGUAAUGGUAGUACCAGAUCGGGAUUGGCCAUUUGAAGCUAUGUGUGAUGCUAGUGACUAUGCAGUAGGGACAGUUUUAGGAUAAAGGAGAGAUAAGAUAUUCCAGGCGAUCUACUAUACUAGCAAAAACCCUUAAUGGAGCUCAACUAAACUACACAACAAUAGAAAAGGAGAUAUUAGCAGUAGUCUUUGCGUGUGAAAAAUUCAGAUCCUACUUUAUUGGUACAAUGUGAUCAUUUACACAGACCAUGCUGCAAUCCCAUAUCUAUUUGAGAAGAAAGAUACCAAGCUAUGCCUAAUUCGAUGGAUGUUGCUACUAAGGAGUUUGAUGUAGAGAUUAGGGAUAAGAAAGGCAGUGAGAAUGUUGCUGCAAAUCAUCUUUCAUGGUUAGAGAAUGAAAAAUGGUAGAUGAGAGUCAAAUUCGAGAAACUUUUCUCGAUGAGAUCUUAUUAGCCGUGUCAUCAAAGAUCCUACGGUAUGUUGAUUUUGUUAACUACUUGGUGUCUGGAAGACUGCCACCUGACUUGGCAUUCCAUCAAACGAAGAAAUUUUUACAUGACGUCAAGUCAUAUCAGUGGGAUGAUCCAAUAAUUUUUAAGAGGUGUGCUGAUAGAAUAAUUAGGCGGUGUAUUCCUAUGGAAUAAACAAGAUCCAUCAUGCAACUUUGUCAUUCCUCACCUUAAGGAGGUUACUUUGGUCCUACAUGCACUGCUUCCAAGGUGCUACAAUUUGGAUUCUAUUGGCCAAAUAUAUUCAAAGACUAUUAUGCCUUUGCGAUGACAUGUGACCAUUGUCAGCGCACUGGAAAUAUUUCAAGAUAUCAUGAGCUCCCAUUAACUAAUAUGCUCGAUAUGGAGUUAUUUGAAGUGUGGGGUAUAGACUUCAUGGGUCCCUUUUUGCCAUCCUUUGGUCAGGUAUACAUUCUUCUUGCAGUAGACUAUGUAUCUAAAUGGGUUGGAGCCAUUGCCACACUAAAAAAUGAUGCAAAGGUAGUUUUGAAGUUUUUACAGAAACAUAUCUUCACUCGGUUUGGCAUGCCUAGGGCAAUAGUAAGUGAUGAAGGUACAUACUUUUGUAACAAGCUAUUCAAUUCCCUUCUAGCUAAAUAUGAUGUGAUGUGAUCCAAGAGCCGUAAGUAUCAAGGUCAAGUCCAUCGUCAAGCCCGAAGAAAGAUCCGUUGAUAGUCGAGGGCGGUCCGAUGACUCGAGCGAGGACAAAGUGGGUAAAAGAGGUAAUGGGAUUGCUCAUUCAAGAAACCAUUGAUGGAAUGAUGUUAGGGAUGCAAAAUGGGGCAACUUUCAUGUUCGGGUCAAGAGCCGAAUCAAAUUGGAUCAAUUCAAUACAAGUCGACAAAAACGGAAGCAAACUGCUCUACCAUGUGACUGCAUAGUAAAACAGGGCUUGCGGUGCAUAGGGUGUGGCAAGGCCAAUGCAAUCAUAGUUCAAGUGAACUAUGCGACUGCAUAGGUUUACACUAUGCAAUCACAUAGUGUUAUUUCGGGGACAAAAUUUCAUUUUUUCACUUUUUUUCAUAUUUUGUUAGAAUUUUAUUCCCAGUCAAAUUCUUAUGAUAUUGGUUGGUUAUUUUUGAGAUUCUACUAGAUUAUUAGUAUUUUACUCCAUUUGGACUUCUGUUCUAAGAUUUAGUAUAAAUAGAACCUUAUUCCUUCAUUGUAAAGAACCUUUAACAUAUUGAUUAAUUGAAAGGCUUUAAUUGCUUUCUAUUUGUUCUUCCAAUUGAACAAUUUUCGAACUUAUCAAGAUCUGAUUCUUGUGGGAUUUAAAUCAACCAGGUGAGAUUCCAUAAUUCUGCAUAAUCAAGAGGUCCGCACAUCAUCGGCGAUUCGGGUUGCUUGGUUCCAGAUUUAUCGAAUUCGAAUCCAAAACCUUGCUUUAGCUUUCUUGGGAAGAUUUCCAUCUUCUUCAUGGGUUCCAUAGCGUUUACCUACGCGGGUUCACAUCAGUUAGUAUCAGAGCUUGGCUCCAAUCCAAGGUUAUAUCUCUUUUUAAUUCUUGUUGAGUCAAUUAUUCAUUUUCUUUACUGUUCUUCGACUACGUUAGUAUUUUAGAGUUUUUAAUCCAAAAAAGUUAUAAAAAAAACUUUAAAGUUGUUUUUGGAUUCAAUUUAUAUCCAAAUCAACUUCCGUUUGUUGCUUCAGUUUUGUUUUUGAUUUUUCUAUCCCAAUACUUAAAAAAAUUACUAUUCAUCCAUACACUAAAAAAAUUCCAAAAAAAUCCGAAUUUAAAAAAAAAUUGUUAUUAUUAUUGUUAAUCUUGGAAAUUACCGAUUUCUUGAAUCCAUUUAUUAGUUUGUGUCUAGUUUAAAUUUUCAGUCAGUAAUUUCCUUUCUUAUUUUGCGUUCUUGAGUGAAUUUCUUUACUUGUCUAGUUUGAAUUGCCAGUCAAAUUGUUCUAAAUUCCUUGGCCUUGUAAUCUCACUCACACCGGUUUGAAUUCCAUGUAAUUAAAUUUUUGAUUGAGUUCCAAAAUUGUUCUUUUGAGGACUUGGUGAAAGCAACGAGUGAUAAAAGGCAGAGUGGUGAGAAUAAUCGAGGGAAAAGCCAUAUUGAUUGAAAUUUUGAGUGAACAAUCGUGAGGCAAAAAAAUAACUUAGAUUUAGGAUGUCUAAUAGGGAAGGAUCAAGUUUAGGUAGAAUUGAUGAUCGGGUUUCCAUGCUAGAGGACUCAGUGCAACGGAUUGAGCUGAUAUGUGUAGAUAUGAGGGAUCAGAUGGAUAAGCAGGAUGCACAGGGAGAAGGCUAAAUCCAUUACCUGCCAAUACACGAAGGGGAGGUCUUAAUACAAGGAGACAAGCUAGACGGGAACCUAGGAUGAAGGAGCUUAGUGAAUUUGAGGUUGAUAGUAGGAUAGAUGAAGAUGCGAUUAUGGAUGCGGAUAUUAGAAAGGGUAGAAAUAGAGGAGUUAGGUAAGAAAUGAGAGGUAGGAAUCUCUGUGGAGAUGAGGUGGAUGGGAAUUUGAGUAACAUUAAAAUGACCAUUCUUUCAUUCAGAGGUAGGAGUGAUCCAGAGGCCUACUUGGACUGGGAGAAGAAAAUUGAGCUAAUUUUUUAUUGCCACAAUUACUCGGGAGAGAAGAAGGUGAAAAUUGCAGUUCUUGAAUUCACGGACUAUGCAAUCACUAGGUAGGAUCAGGUGGUGACUUUGAGGCAGAGAAGUGGGGAGCGACCUAUCAAUACAUGGGAUGAAUUGAAAACUAUAAUACGGAAGAGUUUGUACCUACUCACUACUACCGGGAGCUUCAUCAAAGAUUACAAAAUUUAUAUCAAGGCUCCAGGAGUGUGGAAGAUUACCAUAAAGAGAUGGAGACACUAAUGAUUAGUGCAAAUGUGGAGAAGGAUAGUGAAGCUACCAUGGCUCGAUUUCUGCGUGGAUUGAAUAGGGACAUUGCAAAUACAGUGGAAUUGCAACACUAUGUGGAAAUUGAAGACAUGUUACAUGUGGCAAUGAAGGCCGAGAUGUUGUUGAAGCGAAAAGAAACAGCAAGGUACCAAUGGGAUCUUCGGGUUCUAAUUCUUCUGAAAAAUUGAAGUGGGACAAUAACAAAGGAGAAAGAACUGUUGCAAGAGGAAGAACUAAGGUACCAAGAGACAAGGAGGAGAGUGCUAGCAAGGCCGUGCCAAAGGGGGAGUCACAGUCAUCAAGAAACAGAGACAUCAAAUGUUUUUGUUGCUUGGGAGUGGGGCACAUUGCUUCUUAAUGCCCAAACAAGAGAACCAUGAUUCUACGGGACAACGAGGAAGUGGAAACUGAAAGUGAGAGUGAUUAUGUAGACAUAUCAGAAUUGGAGGAUGUUGAUGAAGAAGAUACAACAGAGUAUGCAGUUAAUAGUAAGUUGUUGGUCACGAGGCAAGCUCUUAGUACUCAAAUCAAAGCGGAUGACUUGGAGUAGCAACAAAAAAACAUAUUCCACACGCAAUGUCACGUUAAUGGCAAGGUAUGUAGUGUGAUCAUAGAUGGCGGUAGUUGUACUAAUGUGACUAGCACUAACAUGGUGGAAAAAUUGGCUUUGACACUGUUAAAACAUCCUAGGCCUUAUAAAUUACAAUGGCUAAAUGAAUAUGGGGAAGUUAAGGUGACAAAAAGGGUGUUGAUUAAUUUUUCCAUUAGUAGAUAUCAAGAUGAGGUGAUGUGCGAUGUUGUACCUAUGCAUGCAGGGGUAUAUCUUGUUGGGGAGACCAUGGAAGUACGAUAGGAAAGCAAUGCAUGAUGGGUAUAAAAUUAAGUACAGCUUUGUGAAAAAUGGGAGGUAUAUCACUCUUAUGCCAUUAACACCGACACAAGUAUAUGAGGACCAAAUUCAAUUGAAAAAUGAAGAAAAAGUGAGAGUGAGGGAGUUAGGGAAAAAGAGAGAAAAUAGUGAGGUGGCCAAUAGAGAGGAAAAGAGAGUAGGGCCACAUGAGAGAAAAGAAAGAGUCUUCCGAGAUGAGAGAAAAGUCGAAACAAAAUUUCUUUAUGAGAGGGAGUGAAUUGAAAAAGACAAUAGUUGAGAGGUAACAAAUGAUACUGUUGGUUUAUAAAGAAUCACUUCUCAACUUUGAGGAGCAUAACACAUCCCUCCCUAGUUUGGCUAUUUCUUUGUUACAGGAAUUUGAAGACGUGUCUCCGGAGGAUGUGCCUAGUGGGCUACCACCCAUUAAAGGAAUUGAGCACCAAAUUGAUUUCAUACCUAGCGCUGUCAUUCCAAAUCGACCGGCUUAUCGAAGUAAACUAGAGGAGACAAAGGAGCUUUAGAGGCAAGUUGAGGAAUUGACGAGCAAAGGAUAUGUACGGGAAAGCAUGAGUCCAUGUGCAGUACUUGUGUUGCUGGUGCCAAAGAAAGAUGGAAGUUGGAGAAUGUGCGUAGAUUGCAGAGUCAUCAACAACAUUACAAUAAAAUAUGGUCACCCAAUUCCUAGGUUAGAUGAUAUGCUAGAUGAGCUACAUGGUGCAUGUAUUUUCAGUAAAAUUGAUCUUAAAAAUGGGUAUCAUCAAAUUUGCAUGAGGGAGAGUGAUGAAUAGAAAAUGGCUUUUAAAACUAAAUAUGGAUUGUAUGAAUGGUUAGUCAUGCUGUUUGGACUCACAAAUGCAACAAGCAUUUUUAUGCGGUUAACAAACCAUGUUUUGCAUGCUUUCAUUGGAAAAUUUGCUGUAGUUUAAUUUGAUGAUAUUUUAAUCUAUAGCAAGAAUCUUAAUAAGCAUGUAGGACACCUAAGAUGUGUGCUUGUGGUUUAGAGAAAUGAACAACUUUAUGCCAGUUUUAAGAAGUGUACUUUUUGCAUGGAUAGAGUUGUAUUUCUAGGCUUUGUGGUUAGUGCUAAUGGUGUAAAGGUAGAUGAAGAGGAAAAAAAAGCUAUUAAAGAUUGGUAAACACUUAAAAACAUAACCGAGGUUAGGAAUUUUCAUGGAUUGGCUAGUUUUUAUAGGCAUUUUAUCAGGGAUUUUAGCACAAUCACCACACCAUUAACUGAGAUUGUCAAGAAAAAUGUGGGGUUUCAAUGGAGGAUAGAAUAAGAACAUGCAUUCAACACUAUCAAAAAUUUUGCGUAAAGCACCGGUUUUAGCACUUCCUAACUUUGAAAAAACUUUCGAGAUUGAGUGUGAUGCUUUAGGAAUAGGUAUUGACGUAGUCUUAAUACAAGAUAAGAGACCUAUAGCCUACUUUAGUGAGAAGCUAAGUGGUGCAGCUCUCAACUAUCCUACGUAUGACAAGGAGCUCUAUUCACUUGUUCGAGCCUUGGAGAUAUGGCAGCAUUACCUUGGCCAAAAGAGUUCGUAAUUUAUUCUGAUCAUGAAUCACUGAAACACUUGUGGGGUCAAGGUAAGUUAAACAAACGGCAUGCAUGCUGGAUGGAAUUCAUAGAAACUUUUCCAUAGCUCAUUCGUUACAAACAAGAUAAGGAAAAUGUAGUAACAGGUGCAUUGUCACGAAGGUAUGUGCUUUUAACUACUUUAAGUGCAAAAUUGCUUGGUUUUGAGUACAUUAAGGACAUUUAUGCUAAUGAUUCUGAAUUUUCCAACAUUUACAAUUCAUGUCAUAAGGGGACUAUAGAUAAGUUCUUUAAACAUGAGGGGUACUUAUUUCGGGAAAACAAAUUAUGUAUUUCUAAUUGCUCUAUGUGUGAAUUAUUGGUUAGAGAAGCACAUAGUGGAGGUCUAAUGGGUCACUUAGGGGUAGCAAAGACUUUAGAAAUAUUAACUGAACAUUUUUAUUGGCCUAAAAUGAAAGUUGAUGUGGAACGAAUUUGUAGUCGAUGCAUAACUUGUAAACAUGCUAAAUCGAGGGUCCUACCUCAAGGGCUUUAUACACCUUUGCCAGUACCUUGUGAACCUUGGGUAGACAUCUUAAUGGAUUUUGUGUUAGGUUUGCCUAGGAGUAAAAAGGGUUGGGAGUCAAUUUUUGUAGUGGUUGAUAGGUUUAGUAAGAUGGCAUAUUUCAUUCCAUGUCACAAAACUGAUGACGCAACUAACAUUGCAGACUUGUUCUUUAAAGAAAAUGUCCGCUUGCAUGGAGUACCUAAAAGUAUUAUGUUAGAUAGGAAUGUCAAAUUUCUUAGUCACUUUUGGAGGGUCUUGUGGAAUAAGUUAGGCACGAAAUUAUUAUUUUCUACAACUUGUCACCCACAAAUCGAUGGACAAACUGAAGUAGUGAAUAUGACUAUAACACAACUAUUGCGCACUGUAGUUAAUAAGAAUUUGAAGAAUUGAAAGAGUGCUUACCUUUCAUAGAGUUUGCAUAUAAUAGGGCUACACACUCCACUACAUCAUUUUCUCCAUUUGAAAUUGUUUAUGAUUUUAAUCCUAUAAUACCUAUGGAUUUAAUACCUUUUCCUAUGAGUGAACGAGGUAGGUUGGAUGGGAAGAGGAAGGUCGAGCUAGUGAAGUCACUCCAUGAAAAGGUGCAAGAGCAAAUUGAGAAGAAGAAUAAGCACUAUGCAGAGCAAGCAAACAAGGGCAGGAAGAUUGUUACUUUCGAACUAGGAGAUUGGGUUUGGGUGCAUUUCAGGAAAGAGUGGUUUCCAGAACAAAGAAAAUCAAAGUUGUUACCACAGGGAGAUGGACCAUUUCAAGUGCUUGAGAAGAUCAAUGACAAUGCAUACAAAUUAGAUCUUUCAGGUGAGUAUAACAUUUCAGCAACUUUUAAUGUGUCUGAUCUUUCUCUCUUUGAUGUAGGUAUAGAUUCGAGGACAAAUCCUUUCGAAGAGAGAGGGGAUGAUGUGAUCCAGGAGCCGCAAACAUCAAGGUCAAGUCCAACGUCAAGCCUGAAAAAAUAUCUGUUCAUAGUUGAGGGUGGUCCGAUGACUCGAGCGAGGACGAAGCAAGUAAAAGAGGCUUGCAGUCGCAUAGGGUAUGGCAGGGCCAAUGCGGUCAUAGUUCAAGUGAACUAUGCGACCGCAUAGGUUUACACUAUGCGGUCGCAUAGUGUUAUUUCGGGGAUAAAAUUUCAUUUUCCACUUUUUUUUUCAUAUUUUGUUAGAAUUUUAUUCCUAGUCAAAUUCUUAUGAUAUUGGUUGGUUAUUUUCGAGAUUCUACUAGAUUAUUAGUAUUUUAUUCGUUUUGGACAUCUAUUCUAGGAUUUAGUAUAAAUAGAAGUUUCUUCCCUGAUUGUAAAGAACCUUUGACAUAUUGAUUAAUUGAAAGGCUUUAAUUGCUUUCUCUUUGUUCUUCUAAUUGAACAACUUUCGAACUUAUCAAGAUCUAAUUCUUAUGGCAUUCAAAUUAACAGGGUGCUGAAAAAGUUAAAACGUCCACUCGUCAUACAACAAGCAUUUCCCUUAUCGAAAAAGUGAUGCCCCUAAUAGGAUCAGCUAAAUGUUCAAUCUCACUUUCCCAUUGCAUUGCAACAACCAAACCUUUUUUUUUUUUUUUUGUAAAUUAUAGUUUAUUCAUGAUUGUUUAGUGAAUCUUAUAACACAUGAGAGAAACUGAAUAGCAUCGUUAAACUUUUUCAGUGUUUCAGAAGAGAUGUCUCAUCCUUGGUCUAGUCUUUCCCAUUUUUCCUCGCAAGCCUCACAUUUCUUAGGGAUGGAAAUCGGGCUCGUUGGCUCGGCCCACCCCUGGCUUGUCCUGAAAAUAGCCCGUACCAGUUCGGCUCGAAGCUCGGAGGUAUCCAGCCCCAUUUCGGGGAGUCAGCUCGAGCCGGGCGGACAGAUACUAAAAAAAACCCCUUCCAGGAAAAAAAUCUACCUAGUGAAUAUUGUACAGUCGCAUGACAAUGAAGCCACGACCAUGUAGGAAUAACAUGGAACUAAAUGACAUUGGGGGAACAACCAAAGGACUAGGAUUAGUAAUUUGCUGCUUUGGAAAUUAUUAAAUAUUAGGAGAACGCCCCAUUUUAGUUAAUUUGGUAUAAAAAGUAAAUUAACCACUUGUCGUGGGAUCAACCCUUACUUCCACUACUACAUUAAUUUUUAUAGCCUUCUUUUCUUUCUUCACCUCAGUUAAAAACUAAUUCGAACCAAUUGGAUCAGCUUCUUCAGCCUCUCUUGCAAACUAACUGGUCUAUAUCUUUGACUGGUUCUUUCAAAUGUCUAUGUAAAUGGUUUGUGAGUCUUAAAAUGAUCAAUUUUCAUUAACUUGUCCCGUUGUUCGUCCACACCUCCAUAUAGGGAUGAUAAUCUAGCUUGCUAGCUCUGGCCAACCGGCUCGAAAAAUAUCGAGAAGGCUCGGAGAUACCGAGUGGAGCCCUAUUUUUGAGAAGUCGGCUCGAGUCGGGAUGACCCAUUAAAAAAAAAGUAAAAGUAAAAGUAAAAAUCUACUGCUUUAACCGGUAGCUAUGUAAAGCUACUAACAGACAACUAAUCUACUAUUGCCUGAGGCAGCAUAUGAAGUUUGACGACUAAAACUUUGGUAUGGCCCGACCUGAAAGCUCGGGUCGAGCCUUAAUUUUUUUAUCCAGCUUUUGCUCAGCUUAGGCCAAAAAAGCACACCUUAAAAAAGCCUGAGCUGAAAAUUUUCACUCGCGAACCGGUUCUACUUGUUGAUACCCCUACCUCCAAGUCGAGACCGAGUCUCAAAUUUCAGUUUGCGGGUCGACUCGGUUUGGCUCAUUAACAUGCCUCCUAUUACUACUACCAGACAUUACAUUUUAGAAAAAAAAAUUGAUAACUUAAAGGUUCGAGUGUUCUGGGCCCAACCCCAAAGGCUGAAAAAAAUUUAUAGUCACAUGGCCAUGUAACCUUAUCAGAGAACCAGUCAUCGUUCAGUGUGUGAAUUGUGUCUUUACCUCCAUACAUCUUGCCAUCUGCAUCCUCUUUUAUCUAUAUAGAGUACUCAACGUCGUUUCAACCACAGUUGCAAUUUUUUUUAAAAGUACAAACGACUCCCAAAUAAAUUAUUAAAAAAUUUGAACACUCGGUUGAUCCUAUUACGACCACACUCAGUUGAUCUUAUUAGGGCCACCACUUUUUUGAUAAGGGAAUUGCUUGUUGUAUAACGAGUGGACGUAUUAAGUUUUUCUGUGUUUCAGAUGAGAUGUCUCAUCAUUUCUCUAGUCUUUCCCAUUUUCCCUCGCAAGUCUCACAUUUUCUUAGGGAUGGCAAUCGGGCUUGUUGGCUCGACCCACCCGUGGCUUGUCAUGAAGCCUCGACCAUGUAGGAAUAACAUGGAACUAAAUGACAUUGGGAGAAGGACCAAAGGACUAGGAUUCAUAAUUUGCUGCUUUAGAAAUUAUUAAAUAUUAGGGAAAAUAUUUAUUUAGGUUAAAUGCAAAUGCUUUGCUUGUGUUAUCUAAUUUAUUGAUUUCUCUAGUUUACAAAGCAAUUAUUGAAUUAAAUCUUCAAUCUUGUCUGGGAUUGUUUGAUAAUUAGGAUUAGUUAGAAGACCGUUGUCCUACCUAAUUACAAUUAAGGAGAAAUAGAAAAUUAUUUUCGAAUGGGAAUUCGAUUUCUACAAUGAAUGCUACAAUUAUGAAUUAAUGAUUACUUGUAGAUCAAGGAUCGGUUAUUAAAUUCCAAUGGUGGAUGUUGACUUGGAUCAAGGUUCGUUCUACUGAUUUCAUUUAAUUUGAUAAUCUGCAUUGAUGUUAAUUGCUUGUUUCAAAACUAGAACCCCCCAUUUUAGUUAAUUUGGUAUAAAAAGUAAAUUAACCACUUUUCGUGGGAUCAACCCUUACUUCCACUACUACAUUAAUUUUUAUAGCCUUCUUUUCUUUCUUCACCUUAGUUAAAAACUAAUCCAAACCAAAUGGAUCAGCUUCUUCAGCCUCUCUUGCAAACUCAACUGGUCUAUCUCUUUGACUGGUUCUUUCAAAUGUCUAUGUAAAUGGUUUGUGAGUCUUAAAACGAUCGAUUUUCAAUAACUUGUCCCGUUGUUCAUCCACACCUCCAUAUAGGGAUGGUAGUCUAGCUCACUAGCUCUACCCAACUGGCUCGAAAAAUAUCGAGGAGGCUCAGAGAUACCGAAUGGAGCCCUAUUUUUGAGAAGUCGGCUCGAGCCAGGAUGACCCAUUAAAAACAAAAAAAAAGUGAAAGUAAAAGUAAAAGUAAAAAUCUGCUGCUUUAAUCGGCAACUAUGUAAAGCUACCAACAGACAGCUAAUCUACUAGUGCCUGAGGCAGCAUAUGAAGUUUGGCAACUAAAACUUUGGUAUGGCCCGACCUAAAAGCUCGGGUCGAGCCUUAAAUUUUUUGUCUAGCUUUUGCUUGGCUUAGGCCAAAAAAUCCCACCUUAAAAAAGCCCGAGACGAAAAUUUUCACUCGCUAACCGGUUCUACUUGUUGAUACCCCUACCUCCAAGCCGAGACCGAGUCUCAAAUUUCAGUUUACGGGUUGGUUCGGUUCGGCUCAUUAACAUGCCUCCUGUUACUAAUACCAAACAUUACAUUUUAGAAAAGAAAUUGAUAACUUAAAGACUCGAGUGUUCUAGGCCCAACCAGACAUUCAUUGUAGAUUUUACAGUCACAUGGCCAUGUAACCUUAUCAGAGAACCAGUCAUCGUUCAGCGUGUGAAUUGUAUCUUUACCUCCAUACAUCUUGCCAUCUGCAUCCUUUUUUAUCUAUACAGAGUAUUCAACGUAGUUUCAACCACAGUUGCAAUUUUUUUUAAAAGUACACACGACUCCCAAAUAAAUUAUUAAAAAAAUUUGAACACUCGAUUGAUCCUAUUAGGGCCAUGCUCAGUUGAUCUUAUUAGGGCUACCACUUUUUCGAUAAGGGAAAUGCUUGUUGUAUAACGAGUGGACGUAUUAAGUUUUUCUUGUUUUAGAUGAGAUGUCUCAUCAUUUGUCUAGUCUUUCCCAUUUUUCCUCGCAAGUCUCACAUUUUCUUAGGGAUGGCAAUCGAGCUCGUUGGCUCGGCCCACCUGUGGCUUGUCAUGAAGCCUCGACCAUGUAGGAAUAACAUGGAACUAAAUGACAUUGGGAGAACGACCAAAGGACUAAGAUUAGUAAUUUGCUGCUCUAGAAAUUAUUAAAUAUUAGGGAAAAUAUUUAUUUAGGUUAAAUGCAGACGCUUGGCUUGUGUUAUCUAAUUUAUUGAUUUCUCUAGUUCACAAAGCAAUUAUUGAAUUAAAUCUUCAAUCUUGUCUGGGAUUGUUUGAUAAUUAGGAUUAGUUAGAAGACCGUUGUCCUACCUAAUUACAAUUAAGGAGAAAUAGAAAAUUAUUUUCGAAUGGGAAUUCGAUUUCUACAAUGAAUGCUACAAUUACGAAUUAAUGAUUAUUUGUAGAUCAAGGAUCGGUUAUUAAAUUCCAACGGUGGAUGUUGACUUGGAUCAAUGUUCAUUCUAUUGAUUUCAUUUAAUUUGAUAAUCUGCAUUGAUGUUAAUUGCAUAAAUUGUGAUCUAACUUCGAAAUAAUUUAUCAAAAUACAUUAUUAAACAAUAUAAUUUAUCAAAAUACAUUAUUAAACAACAAAUUAAUACAUUACCCGAUUAGUUAACAAUAAUAUGCAUCGUUCUAAACACAAAUGAAUUCAUUGUACCUACCGAUUUUCAGAUAACUUUUGGCCCUUGUCUUCCAAUUCCAAAUCUAAGCACAAAUGAAUUUAGUG
rnacentral:lncRNA from 1 species